rnacentral:rRNA from 1 species
GAUGAACGCUGGCGGCGUGCCUAAUACAUGCAAGUAGAACGCUGAAGCUUGGUGCUUGCACCGAGCGGAUGAGUUGCGAACGGGUGAGUAACGCGUAGGUAACCUGCCUCUUAGCGGGGGAUAACUAUUGGAAACGAUAGCUAAUACCGCAUAAAAGUCGAUAUCGCAUGAUAUUGAUUUGAAAGGUGCAAAUGCAUCACUAAGAGAUGGACCUGCGUUGUAUUAGCUAGUUGGUGAGGUAACGGCUCACCAAGGCAACGAUACAUAGCCGACCUGAGAGGGUGAUCGGCCACACUGGGACUGAGACACGGCCCAGACUCCUACGGGAGGCAGCAGUAGGGAAUCUUCGGCAAUGGGGGCAACCCUGACCGAGCAACGCCGCGUGAGUGAAGAAGGUUUUCGGAUCGUAAAGCUCUGUUGUAAGAGAAGAACGAGUGUGAGAGUGGAAAGUUCACACUGUGACGGUAACUUACCAGAAAGGGACGGCUAACUACGUG